GCAGUCGAGCGGACAGAUGGGAGCUUGCUCCCUGAUGUUAGCGGCGGACGGGUGAGUAACACGUGGGUAACCUGCCUGUAAGACUGGGAUAACUCCGGGAAACCGGGGCUAAUACCGGAUGGUUGUUUGAACCGCAUGGUUCAGACAUAAAAGGUGGCUUCGGCUACCACUUACAGAUGGACCCGCGGCGCAUUAGCUAGUUGGUGAGGUAACGGCUCACCAAGGCAACGAUGCGUAGCCGACCUGAGAGGGUGAUCGGCCACACUGGGACUGAGACACGGCCCAGACUCCUACGGGAGGCAGCAGUAGGGAAUCUUCCGCAAUGGACGAAAGUCUGACGGAGCAACGCCGCGUGAGUGAUGAAGGUUUUCGGAUCGUAAAGCUCUGUUGUUAGGGAAGAACAAGUGCCGUUCAAAUAGGGCGGCACCUUGACGGUACCUAACCAGAAAGCCACGGCUAACUACGUGCCAGCA
rnacentral:rRNA from 1 species